rnacentral:rRNA from 1 species
UGGGGAAUAUUGGACAAUGGGCGAAAGCCUGAUCCAGCAAUGCCGCGUGGAUGAAGAAGGUUUUCGGAUUGUAAAGUCCUUUCGGCGGGGACGAUGAUGACGGUACCCGCAGAAGAAGCCCCGGCUAACUUCGUGCCAGCAGCCGCGGUAAUACGAAGGGGGCUAGCGUUGCUCGGAAUGACUGGGCGUAAAGGGCGCGUAGGCGGUAUGGACAGUCAGGUGUGAAAUUCCCGGGCUUAACCUGGGGACUGCAUUUGAUACGUUCAAACUAGAGUGUGGAAGAGGGUCGUGGAAUUCCCAGUGUAGAGGUGAAAUUCGUAGAUAUUGGGAAGAACACCGGUGGCGAAGGCGGCGACCUGGUCCAUUACUGACGCUGAGGCGCGAAAGCGUGGGGAGCAAACAG